UCACAUGUUAUAAAAAUUUGGUAAAGUAUAUUUUGUGAACAAAGGUGAACAUAUUCGCUUUUUCUCCCUACUUAAUUCCUCCAAAAUUUAGAAACUAUUCUUACUAUGUUUUUAGCAAUACGGUUAUUUACAUAAGUUCAAUAAGAAUCUGUUCUGUAUUUAUAACAGGAUACAAUUGGAAACAUUGAUUAUAUUACCAAGGCUUUGACUAAAAUAUCAUCUUUGGGAAUGUGCAUGAAAUGCCUGGCUUCAAAGGUUUAUAGCCUUACAGUGAAUGAGUAAAAAUUGUCACUUCCUAGCAGGCC
rnacentral:lncRNA from 1 species